rnacentral:rRNA from 1 species
CCUACGGGUGGCAGCAGUGGGGGAUAUUGCUCAAUGGGGGAAACCCUGAUGCAGCGACGCCGCGUGGGUGAAGAAGCGCCUCGGCGCGUAAAGCCCUGUCAGCAGAGGAGAAAAUGACGGUACCUGAAGAAGAAGCCCCGGCUAACUACGUGCCAGCAGCCGCGGUAAGACGUAGGGGGCAAGCGUUAUCCGGAUGUACUGGGUGUAAAGGGGGCGCAGACGGCGAUGCAAGCCAGGAGUGAAAGCCCGGGGCCCAACCCCGGGACUGCUCUUGGAACUGCGUGGCUAGAGUGCAGGAGGGGCAGGCGGAAUUCGUGGUGUAGCGGUGAAAUGCGUAGAUAUCAGGAGGAACACCGGUGGCGAAGGCGGCCUGCUGGACUGCAACUGACGUUGAGGCCCGAAAGCGUGGGGAGCAAACAGGAUUAGAUACCCGAGUAGUC